UACGGGGGGGGCAAGCGUUGUUCGGAAUUACUGGGCGUAAAGCGCACGUAGGCGGACUAUUAAGUCAGGGGUGAAAUCCCGGGGCUCAACCCCGGAACUGCCUUUGAUACUGGUAGUCUUGAGUUCGAGAGAGGUGAGUGGAAUUCCGAGUGUAGAGGUGAAAUUCGUAGAUAUUCGGAGGAACACCAGUGGCGAAGGCGGCUCACUGGCUCGAUACUGACGCUGAGGUGCGAAAGCGUGGGGAGCAAACAGG
rnacentral:rRNA from 1 species